rnacentral:rRNA from 1 species
GGGUUGUGAGGUUAAGCGACUAAGCGUACACGGUGGAUGCCCUGGCAGUCAGAGGCGAUGAAGGACGUGCUAAUCUGCGAUAAGCGCCGGUAAGGUGAUAUGAACCGUUAUAACCGGCGAUUUCCGAAUGGGGAAACCCAGUGUGACUCGUCACACUAUCAUUAACUGAAUCCAUAGGUUAAUGAGGCGAACCGGGGGAACUGAAACAUCUAAGUACCCCGAGGAAAAGAAAUCAACCGAGAUUCCCCCAGUAGCGGCGAGCGAACGGGGAGGAGCCCAGAGCCUGAAUCAGCAUGUGUGUUAGUGGAAGCGUCUGGAAAGGCGCGCGAUACAGGGUGACAGCCCCGUACACAAAAGCGCAUAUGCUGUGAGCUCGAUGAGUAGGGCGGGACACGUGGUAUCCUGUCUGAAUAUGGGGGGACCAUCCUCCAAGGCUAAAUACUCCUGACUGACCGAUAGUGAACCAGUACCGUGAGGGAAAGGCGAAAAGAACCCCGGCGAGGGGAGUGAAAAAGAACCUGAAACCGUGUACGUACAAGCAGUGGGAGCCCCACCACUAAGCCAGUGGUGAACUCCACAUACGCAUCCUUUGCUGAGGAUACGGUUAACGGAGCGAAAGCGACGUUCAACCGCAAAAGAAGCAGAGGGGGCUUAGUGGUGGGGUGACUGCGUACCUUUUGUAUAAUGGGUCAGCGACUUAUAUUCUGUAGCAAGGUUAACCGAAUAGGGGAGCCGGAGGGAAACCGAGUCUUAAUUGGGCGUUAAGUUGCAGGGUAUAGACCCGAAACCCGGUGAUCUAGCCAUGGGCAGGUUGAAGGUUGGGUAACACUAACUGGAGGACCGAACCGACUAAUGUUGAAAAAUUAGCGGAUGACCUGUGGCUGGGGGUGAAAGGCCAAUCAAACCGGGAGAUAGCUGGUUCUCCCCGAAAGCUAUUUAGGUAGCGCCUCGUGAAUUCAUCUCCGGGGGUAGAGCACUGUUUCGGCUAGGGGGCCAUCCCGGCUUACCAACCCGAUGCAAACUGCGAAUACCGGAGAAUGUUAUCACGGGAGACACACGGCGGGUGCUAACGUCCGUCGUGAAG